rnacentral:rRNA from 1 species
GACGAACGCCGGCGGCGUGCUUAACACAUGCAAGUCGAACGGAAAGGCCUCUUUCGGGGGUACUCGAGUGGCGAACGGGUGAGUAACACGUGAGUAACCUGCCCUUGACUUUGGGAUAACUUCAGGAAACUGGGGCUAAUACCGGAUAGGAGCUCCUGCUGCAUGGUGGGGGUUGGAAAGUUUCGGCGGUUGGGGAUGGACUCGCGGCUUAUCAGCUUGUUGGUGGGGUAGUGGCUUACCAAGGCUUUGACGGGUAGCCGGCCUGAGAGGGUGACCGGCCACAUUGGGACUGAGAUACGGCCCAGACUCCUACGGGAGGCAGCAGUGGGGAAUAUUGCACAAUGGGUGGAAGCCUGAUGCAGCAACGCCGUGUGCGGGAUGACGGCCUUCGGGUUGUAAACCGCUUUCGCUCAUGACGAAGCUUUGUGUGACGGUAGUGGGUAAAGAAGCACCGGCUAACUACGUG